CUCCGCUUUGCCCUAUAGUGCCCCCCGACGGAGGCAGGGAAAGUCCGGUGAGAGUCCGGCACUGUCGCGCAACGGUAACCCCCCCGCUGUGGGGAGGAAGUCCGAACACCGGCCCCGUCCCGGCCUUCGCC
rnacentral:ncRNA from 2 species